CCUACGGGAGGCAGCAGUGGGGAAUAUUGGGCAAUGGAGGAAACUCUGACCCAGCAACGCCGCGUGAAGGAUGAAGGUUUUCGGAUUGUAAACUUCUGUUGCGAGGGAUGAAGAAUGACGGUACCUCGUGAGGAAGCCCCGGCAAACUACGUGCCAGCAGCCGCGGUAAUACGGAGGAUGCGAGCGUUAUCCGGAUUUAUUGGGUUUAAAGGGUGCGUAGGCGGAAUGCCAAGUCAGCGGUAAAAUCGCGGGGCUCAACCUCGCUCCGCCGUUGAAACUGGCGUUCUUGAGUGGGCGAGAGGUAGGCGGAAUGCGUGGUGUAGCGGUGAAAUGCAUAGAUAUCACGCAGAACUCCGAUCGCGAAGUCAGCCUACCGGCGCCCAACUGACGCUGAUGCACGAAAGCGUGGGUAUCGAACAGGAUUAGAUACCCCAGUAGUC
rnacentral:rRNA from 1 species